rnacentral:sRNA from 1 species
CCCUAGCCCCGAUUGCAAUGGAAAGCUUUUUGAGAAGGCCGUUUUUUGUUUUUCUAGGUGCAGCAGAGCGACCGCAGGAAGCUCCUGAUGGAACUUUAGAAAAACAAACGGGCAAACAAAAACUUGGAAUGAAAAGCGGGAAAUGGC